AAAGAAAAGUCGCUUCCUUAACUAAAUAUUUAAAUCUUACAUCAUGUUCACAAAAGAUACAUCAAGUUCCAAAAUGCAACCAUUAAAAGUCGACUACACGUUUACAGCCCCGAUUCCAAUCAAAAGUAUAAUCUAGUCGGCUUUACCAAAAUCUUCCAAUCCAACCUGUUAAGGAAAACAAACUAAUAGGAUGAGCCAAUACUCAGUGAAGCCAAAAAAACACACAUGCAAACACAUAAUCCAAGUAGCGACAACAAUUACAUUGUAGGUAAGGCUAUCAAAUUCGAAUAAUUCACAUUUCGAAUAGGAAAAAUAAACAGAAACAAUUCAAGGAUACUGUAGCUCUCAGGAGCUAAAUUCCACGUAGUCGAGUCGAAGUUUUGAUCACAUCUCACGUUGACACUCCGUCAACCACAUAAGUAUCAAAUCCGUAGAUACACCAUUUUUCUUCGAAUCCCGUCACCGUUACACCCCCUUACCGGGCCCGCUCAUCAAAGUUUUUAAUAAUACUCGAGUAUAUCAUGGCAAUACUGCAUGAGUAAUACCGAGCAAGAUCUCUCCAAUAGAUCAUGCUCUACGAAUAUCUCAUGGUUUGCUAAGCUUAUCGACCAAGCCCAUGCUGGCUCGAUUCGCAAAGUUAGCCAACGAGUUUUGGGCGUCCCCCGAAUAUGAAUACGAAUACGAAUAUAAGUCGAUGAGCAACGCUCAAAUCGACGAUUCCAAAUAGGAAUCACAAAUACGGAUCACAUAUACGAAUCACAAGUACAAAUCACAUCCACAUUACCAUGUACAAGUUGGAUACGAAUUCACAUAGCAAAAUUCGAAUAUAAUUUCAUUUGAAAGAGAACGAGUGUGACAAAGUACACCCUCGUCUCAAAAUUUCAAAUUUACAUAACGGAUAAGAAACAGAUAACCACUUAACAACAAGUUCAUGCACUUGACACUCACAGUGAUUCAAGUAGCGAGUUCAAAUGAUGGUUUAGACGUCUCCCG
rnacentral:lncRNA from 1 species